UUAUUUUAUAUUUAUAGUAUUUCUGUUUUUGUAUCAAGAGGUCAAAUUUGUUCAUAGUGAGUGAGCUACAAGUUCUUUUGCUGAUUGUAACAUUGCUGUAUUAAUCAACUUAUAUUAGCUAGUCAUAGUCUCUGUUGGCAAGCUUAACCUAACAUACAAUUUUAUAAUUUCCAUUGCAUUCUAAGGCAUUUCACUGAAAGCAGAAGCUGUCGCAGUCAAGAAAGAAUCAGAAGAUCCUAAUUACUAUCACUAUAAUAUGCAAGGAAGCCACUCUUCCUCCACAAGCAAUGAAGUAAUAGAAAUGGAAUUACCAAUGGAAGAUUCCACUCCUCUGGUGCCUUCAGAAGAACCAAAUGAGGACCUGAAGCCGAGGUGAAAUCGAAGUUA